rnacentral:rRNA from 1 species
GAUGAACGCUAGCGGCAGGCUUAAUACAUGCAAGUCGAACGGUAACAGGUCUUCGGACGCUGACGAGUGGCGCACGGGUGAGGAACACGUACACAAUCUACCUUAUACUGGAGAAUAAUACCCCAUAGUAUUGAGAUAUCGCAUGAUAUUUCAAUUAAAGCUUUGGCGGUUGAAGAUUGUCGUGCGUCUGAUUAGCUAGUUGGUGAGGUAACGGCUCACCAAGGCGACGAUCAGUAGCUGGUCUGAGAGGGUGAUCAGCCACACUGGAACUGAGACACGGUCCAGACUCCUACGGGAGGCAGCAGUAGGGAAUAUUGGACAAUGGGCGGAAGCCUGAUUCAGCCAUCCCGCGUGUAGGAAUAAGGCCCUAUGGGUUGUAAACUACUUUAUUAGGGAAGAAAACUUUGAUUUAUCAGAGCUUGACGGUACCUAAGGAAUAAGACACCGGCUAACUCCGUGCCAGCAGCCGCGGU